UACGUAGGUGACCAGCGUUGUCCGGAUUUACUGGGCGUAAAGAGCGCGCAGGCGGUCGUUCAAGUCGAGUGUGAAAGCCCCCGGCUCAACUGGGGAGGGUCACUCGAUACUGAUCGACUUGAAGGCAGGAGAGGGAAGCGGAAUUCCCGGUGUAGUGGUGAAAUGCGUAGAUAUCAGGAAGAACACCCGUGGCGAAGGCGGUUCUCUGGGACGGUACUGACGCUGAGACGCGAAAGCGUGGGGGAGCGAACAGG
rnacentral:rRNA from 1 species